UACGAAGGGAGCUAGCGUUGUCCGGAAUCACUGGGCGUAAAGCGCACGUAGGCGGAUUUGUAAGUCAGGGGUGAAAUCCCGGGGCUCAACCUCGGAACUGCCUUUGAUACUGCAAGUCUCGAGUCCGAUAGAGGUGAGUGGAAUUCCUAGUGUAGAGGUGAAAUUCGUAGAUAUUAGGAAGAACACCAGUGGCGAAGGCGGCUCACUGGAUCGGUACUGACGCUGAGGUGCGAAAGCGUGGGGAGCAAACAGG
rnacentral:rRNA from 1 species